rfam:Schistosoma margrebowiei strain Zambia genome assembly, scaffold: SMRZ_contig0006048
AUCCAGCUGACGAGUCCCAAACAGGCCGAAACGCGCGUCCUGGAU